rnacentral:misc_RNA from 1 species
UCCGGUUUAUCACCAGCAGUCUCCUUAAAGUACCCAGCAUAACCUGAUGGUAACUAAGGACAGGGGUUGCGCUCGUUACGGGACUUAACCCAACAUCUCACGACACGAGCUGACGACAGCCAUGCAGCACCUGUCUCACGGUUCCCGAAGGCACUCUCGCAUCUCUGCAAGAUUCCGUGGAUUCAAAGGUAGGUAAGGUUCUUCGCGUUGCAUCGAAUUAAACCACAUGCUCCACCGCUUGUGCGGGCCCCCGUCAAUUCCUUUGAGUUUCAGCCUUGCGGCCGUACUCCCCAGGCGGGGCACUUAAUGCGUUAGCGCCGGCACUCAGAGGGUCGCUCCCCCAAGCACCUAGUGCCCAUCGUUUACGGCGUGGACUAC